AAAACUGCUGCUGUUUUUUACCCUGCCACAGGCCAUUCAUUCUUUUCUUCCCUUUCCCUUCACUGACAGCCCUUGAGCACUGUAGUGUCGAGCAGGUGGUCCUGGAAGGGGCAGGGGACCUAGAAAGUGAGGGGUGAUGCCUUUCCUCCUCUCAGAAGGAUCAGUUCUUCACACUCAAAGGAGCAUGUAGAUUUCAAGGCCACCCCUUGAUCUGUAAAGCUCAAGCGUCACCUCUGCGCUGAAGCUCCUGUCCUGUCCACCUCCUGUCCUUGGGACUCCCACUGCACCAUUCACACUCCAUUCGUAGUCUGAUGCUUGCUUUUCUAUGGUCUUUUGUGGUUUGUGAUGUUUUCCUGGGUGCUGGUCUGGUUUCCUCACCAAGACCACAGGCUUCUCAAAGGUAGGUACUGUGGCUUCCACUUCAUGUGUGACCCUGCAGGGCUCAGCCCAAGUGCAAAAGUGCAGAGCAUUAAAGGGGUGCUCGGUGAAAGCUGGUUGGUGGAUUGAUGGAAAGUGGAUUAGGUUUGUUUGUUUUUUCUGGUUGUUUUGUUUGUUUGUUUUGAAGACAGUCUUGCUCUGACACCCAGGCCAGAGUGCAGUGGUGCGAUCUUGGCUCACUGCAACCUCCACCUCCCCGUUGAAGCAAUUCUCCUGCCUCAACCUCCUGAAUAGCUGGGAUUACAGGUGCAUGCCACCAUGGCCAGCUAAUUUUUGUAUUUUUUUGUUUUUUUUUGAGACAGAGUUUCGCUCUUGUUACCCAGGCUGGAGUGCAAUGGCGCGAUCUCGGCUCACGGCAACCUCCGCCUCCUGGGUUCAGGCAAUUCUCCUGCCUCAGCCUCCUGAGUAGCUGGGAUUACAGGCACGCACCACCGUGCCCAGCUAAUUUUUUGUGUAUUUUUUAGUAGAGACGGGGUUUCACCAUGUUGACCAGGAUGGUCUCGAUCUCUUGACUUUGUGAUCUACCCGCCUCAGCCUCCCAAAGUGCUGGGAUUACAGGCUUGAGCCACCGCACCUGGCCAAUUUUUGUAUUUUUAAUAGAGAUGGGGUUUUGCCAUGUUGGCCAGGCUAGUCUUGAACUCUUGCCCUUAUGUGAUCUGCCCUCCUCAGCCUCCCAAAGUGCUGGGAUUACAGGCAUGAGGCACUGCACUCCGCUGGGUUAGGUUAUAUAAGACCAAAAAGUCUGGAUGAUCACCUCCCUCCUGUAGUCUGUUAAGAACAAGCCCUCUGGAAUAGUAUUCAAUCAUAAAAAAGAAUGAAAUAAAAUUUUUUUAAAAAAAGAAUGAAAUCCUAUAAUUCCCAGCAACAUGGAUGAAGCUACAGAAUGUUAUGAAAUAAGGCAGGACCAGAAAGUUGAACACCACAUGUUCUUAUUCAUGUGUGAAAGCUUAAAAAGCUGAUCUCAAAGAAGUAAAAAGUAGAACAGAGUAUAAUAAAGGCUGGGAAAGGUAGGGGGAAAGGAGGGAUAGGGAGAGAUUUGUUGAAAGGUACAAAAUUAUAGCUAGCUAGGAGGACUAAGUUUUGGUGUUCAAUACCACUGCAGGAUGACUUAGUUAACAGUACACAUUAUAUAGCUUCAAAUAGCUAGAAGGAGGAUAUUGAAUGUUCCCAACACAAAGAAAUGAUAAAUGUGCGAGAUGUGGACAUGCUGAUUACCCUGAUCUGAUCACCAUUUAUUAUAUGUAUAGAAGCAUCAUCAUAUACUCGUGAAUAUGUACAAUUGUUAUUUGUGAAUUAAAAAAUAAAAUAAAAAACCAACCAAACCAAACAAAACCAGAAGAGUGAGCCGGAGGUGGAGAGCUGGUCUACAGGCGCCCGUGUCUCUUCCACCCAGCGCUUGCUCCUCAUCGUCUAUAGAGCCGACCAGACACAAGAAUUCCACGCUGGACUUUUCUUGCAGAUGACCAUUUAAAUAAUCCACUUUCCAGGUCCUCCUCCAGGCUCGUGGGAAUCCAUCAUUAUACAGGUUUUGGUAUCAGGAUGAUGUUGGCCUCUUUCUCUUACCCUCCUGGAGUAAAGAGAUACCCAUGAGGAUGCCUGAUCCAAUUCUCUGAGGCCCUCCUCGUCCACACUUGGUUAUGUGAACUCCCCUGGGCCUCAUGCCCAGCAUCAGACCCUGCCUUCCUCCUGCUGCAGACCCCACUUUCUCCUCUCUCCCUGGCAUCCUCAGACUCAGUCCCACGGGUUCCUGCAUCAGCUGGUGAUAAGGAGGAGCAGGCUGGGGUGAGACUGGGAUUAGAGCUUCUCUGUGAACCACCUGCACCCCCAGCCCUUCAGGAAGCUUGUGAAAAAUGUGAUUCCUGCGCCCCACCAAGACCCGCCAAAACCAUCUCUGGGGCUUGGCACAGGACUCUGAAUUUCUAACAGUGCCCAGUGAUUGUUGCACUUGAGUUUGAGGGCCAGUGAGCCUGAUGAAUGCUCAGACCCCUCUAGCUUAGAGUCUGCAUUUGGGGUGUGGUGUCUCCCACCUGCCCCCAUAAGAUCUGCUCUGUCCACAAUGCCAUGACCCAGCUGGGGACUUCCCUCAGGUCUGCCUAAGUCCAGGCUCAGGUCAGGUCAGGCGCACAUUGGAGGGGUAAGACCAGGACUGGCAGAGAGAGCUUGUCUUUCCAUUCUCCCUCCCCGGCCAUGCCUUCUUGCCUUUGGAAAAAUGAUAGAAAACCUUGGCUCCUUCCUUGUCUAGAAAGGGUUACUUGCCUAUGGGUUCUGGUGGCUAGACAGAAGAGUAGGCAACAGAGUGCAUGUGGGUGUCUAAAACAGAGGGGAGUAGGAACAGGGCAGAUAGCUGAAGGUGACUGAGUCCAGCCAGUCCCCUGGAGAAGGGGCUGGGAGUGGGGUAAAGUAGUACUACUGCUAUUUUUCUUUUCUUUCUCUCUCUCGAUUUUUUUUUUUUAUGUAACCAAUACAGUGAAUAAGCAGGACCCAUGGAAGUUAAUAGAAGGAAACUUUAUUUUUGGGUCCUACUGUGGCUUUACGAUCUGUCUGGUGGAAGAAAUUCCUUCCCUACCCCUGGAAGAUUUUUUCUUUUUCUUUUUUUUGAAGAAAGAGAAAGAAAAAGAGGGAAAAAGAGAAAAAAAAAAAGAGGGAAAAAGAAAUAUUACUUCAUUCCUAAAAUGGGUAUCAAUAAUGGCCGAUCAAUAUUUUGUGUGUUUAAAGUGGAUAAUGUAUAUUUUGUGUGUUUAAAAUGGAGAGCUCUAUUGAGUUUAUUUGUUCUGGAUCUGAGUUCAAGUCCUGGAUAUCGUUAUCAAUUUUCUGUCUCGUUGAAUCUAAAUCUCAUUAUGGGUCUCAUGUAUCUGGGUGUUAAGAUCUCUUAUUAUUACAUUAAUCCUUUUACCCUUGUAUCCUUGUAGCUUUGAAAUCUAUUUUAUUAAUUGUGAGAAUUGCAACUCCUGCUUUUUAUUUAUUUAUUUUUUCUCUCUGUUUAAUUGGUAAGUUUUUCCCCAACCCUUUAUUCUGAGUCUUUGUAUAUCUUUAGAUAUACCGUUAGAUUUUGUCUGUGUCUUUUGAUUGGGGGAUUUAGUCUAUUUAAAUUUAGGAUUAUUGCCAUUUGAUAUUAACUGGCUAUUUUAUCCUUUCGUUGAUGUAAAUUCUUCUUUAUGUUAAUACUCUUUACUUUUUGGUGUAUCUUUAGAAAGGCUCAUACUGGUUGUUUCUUUCUAUGUAUAAUGCUUCUUUUAGAAGUUCUUGUAAAGCAGGCCUGGUGGUAAUAAAAUCUCUGAGUACUUGCUUGUUCCUAAAAGAUUUUAUUUUUCCUUCAAUUGUAAAGCUUAAAUUGGCAGGAUAUGAAAUUCUGGGCUGAAAGUUCUGUUCUUUAAGUAUAUUGAAUAUUGGCCCUCACUCUCUUCUAGCUUGUAGGGUUUCCGCUGAGAGAUCUGCUGUAAGCCUAAUAGGCUUCCCUUUAUGGGUAACCUGAUCUUUCCCUCUGGCUGCCCUUAAUAUUUUCUCCUUCGUUUCGAUCCUGGUGAAUCUAACGAUUAUGUGCCUUGGGGUUGGUCUUCUUGAGGAAUAUCUUUGUGGUGUUCUCUGUAUUGCCUGGGGUUGAAUAGUGUCCUGCUUUGCUAAAUUAGGAAAAUUUUCCUGGAUAAUAUCCUGAAGAAUAUUUUCCAGCUUGAAUUCAUUCUCUCCAUCACAUUCAGGUACACCAAUCAAGCGUAUAUUAGGUCUUUUCACAUAGUCCCAUAUGGCUUGGGGACUUUGCUCAUUCCUUUUUAUCCUUUUUUCUCUAUUCUUGCCUUGUCGUUUUAUUUCAUUGAGUUGGUCUUCGACCUCUGAUAUCCUUUCUUCUGCUUGAUCCAUUCAGCUAUUUAAGCUUGUACAUAUUUCACUAAGUUCUUGUGUUGUAUUUUUCAACUCCAUAAGUUCAUUUGUAUUCCUCUGUAUAUUGUCUAUUCUUUUCAUAAUUUCAUCGAACCUUUUUUCAAAGUUCUUAGUUUCUUUACAAUGGGUUAGAACAAGUUCCUUUAACUCCCAGAAGUUUCUCAUCAUCCACCUUUUAAAGCCUAUUUCAGAUAAUGGAACACAGUCUUUUUCCAUCAGGACUUGUUCUGCUGCUGAUGAGUCCUUUUCCACCAGGGCUUGUUCCGUUGCUGAUGGGUUCUGAUUUUGAGUAUACUCGGCCUUCUUAGGCUGUUUUUUUCCCUUCAUUGUAGAUGAACCGCCUUUCUAAUUAGGUUUCUGAGUCGACGUCUGAUUUAUUGAUUCCCAGUGCUGGGAUCCGAGCAACCCACUGUGGCGGCCUAAAUAGCAGUGAUAAAACUGAUGGUGCUCUUCUGCCCGGGAAUCUCUGGUCUGGCUUCCCUCUUGAGUCCGCAACAAGUGGCUCUGACUUCCCGGAGCUCCAAACUCCGGUCAGUAGGGGUAGCAGUCCCGUUUGCUCUGCAUCAAGAGCUGCUGCGCCGAGGUGCCGGCAAAACCGCUGCGGCGGCCACAAGAGUCGCGCUGGCGACCCGUGGGGCUCCUCCACUGGGAAUCGGCUGAUCCGUGAGUGACGAAAAUUUGUCUAAAAGUGUGGCGUCGUCUCGUUCUCUGAGCUUUCACUGGGAGCUACAAUCCUGAGCUGUUAGUGGUCGGCCAUCUUGGAUCGGUCUCCUCUCGACACUACCUCACUGACAGACUAGGUGGAAACUCUCACUGAAGCCAGGAAGGAAGUCACAGUGAAGCUGGCCUCCAUCCUGGCCCCCUCUCCCAGUCUCAUCCCACCAUGCGGUUGGAGUCCUAGUUCCAGCUGAAGGCAACCCUUGAAAACUGUGCUUGGGGGCGUCGGGAGUGAUGGGCAGGUACACACUCUGCUACUGUUGCCUGAUAGAAUCACCAGCAUUGCAGAGGAUUCUCAGCCUCUUCUCCUCUCCAGGGCCACCUGAUGAUGGCACUCUUUUGCUGGCCUUAUUUCAUCAGAUUUUUACAAAACCCUGGUCCACAGGCAGGCCAGGCUAUAGCCCUCUCCCUGCCCGACAGAGGGAGAAACCAAGGCUGAAAUUCACAUCAGCAAAGAGAAAGAGCUGGGGUUGACAGCCAGGUCUUCUGACUUAGUCCAGGACUCUUUCUGAGGUAGGAAACGUCCCUGUGUACUCAUCCCUAAAACAACCGUGGCAAAAUUAUUGUCAGGCUACAUCUCUGCCAAAGUGUCUGAACACUAGAAACUGCCCAUUUUAAUUGGGAACAUGGUCUCAUCUGGCUGCAGUCUACAUGGCCCUGCUAUUCAAAUAUUUAAAAAUAUAGGUGAUUUUUUUUCACUUAUGAAAGUCAUAGUGCUUAUUAUAAAAAUAGGUGCUUAGAAUGGAUUUGUAGAUUUUUGUGCUUUGGAAGGAAGGCCUUUAGUCCAUUCUUGGAGGAAAGGUGAUCUCAUCUUAAAUCAAUGAAUGUUCUUGGGGGAGGGUGAUGCCAAGGCCUAAUACUGUGUUUCUAGGAAAGGGUGGGCCCAUCUCAUUCUCUGGGUCAAGGUCCCAGGUCCCAGUGGUAUUGUGUUUCUAGGGCACAACGGGCCCAUCUCACUCUUCAGAAGGGUAAACAAGACCCAGUGGCUUGGCAGGUCUCACCCCUGCCAGCAGGCUGACAAGCCUUCUUAAACAGAAUGAGAGCUUUUGUAUGAAAGAGCUGGGUGGGGUGGCUGUGCUACAGUGGGGAAUGGAUCCCUCAGUGAUGUCUCAGCUGCUCAGGAGCCCAUCGUGGAGAGGGUCUAACGGCGGGUUUGCUGUCCUCAGAGUGCCCCAAUGACAGGACCGACCGAGGGAAGGAGCCCUCUGGGGAAGCAUUCCAAUCACCAGGGGUCAUGCUAGACCAAACUCCUUCCCCUGCCCCCACUCCUGUGCCAGGGCCAAGUAAACCUGCUAGGGUGCUCUAGUGGAGGUGAGAGCUCCCUGGAACCCAGAAGGCCCAGCAAGGUAUGAGGAGGUGACGCUCUGCAGGGGCUCUGCUCUUCACACCUCCCUCAACACUCAGGGACACUCAAAAGGCCCAGUAUGGCUGGGCCAGCAUGGCUGGGAGUGAUGGCUGGAAUCCCAUUUCCAUAUCUGGAGUCCAGACAGCAACUGUCAGUGCUCCCUGAGCCAGGAGCUGAGAGGAUGAGACAUCUGUCUGACAAAAUACAGAAGAGUUGCCAGGAUCCCUGCCAGCAUCUCUUAUCUCAGGAGGCGCAGCUAAGAGCACUGAGUCCCAGUCUCCAGCACGCUCUUCCACCCCAGGCCUCCCUGAAGAUGGGAGGGAGAGUGGCUGCUGCUCUCCUUAUCACUCAGGAAUCCAAUGACAAGGCACUCCACCUUUCUUAUUCCCUUAGUCAGUAGCAUCUUGUAGCACCUAAAACUGGUCGUAGCCACCUAGGAUUUUGAAAGCCAGAUACUUGCCGUGCUGAUAAGAUGUUUAUCAGUGGAAAGGGUAAGUGCUGGUAUCAUCAGAGCAUGUGGGUGGAGGCAGGCAGCAGCCCAGAAAAUUCAGAGCUCCUUGAGGGGGUGGGUACAGGGCCUGUGUCCUCCAGGCUCCCCUGCUCGGGGCAUAAGUGGGAUCGAACAGCAUUCAUUUGGCCCUGCGGACAUGAUCAAUGUCCAGUAGUCUCUUGGCUGCUCCCUUUCAUGGUUCACAGUAAGCCAGGCUUCUCCCUACUCUUGUGAGGCAAGGUGAUGGCUUGUGAUUGAAUCUUGACUGGUGUUUUGCGAGGAUUGCAUGCAUUUGUGUUAAAUUAAGUUGAAUUCAAUAACACGUAAGCCACAUGUGGUAGGAGAAUAAUGGCUCCCCAAAGUUGUCCGUGUCCUAAUCCCCAGAAUCUGCAAAUAUGUUAGGUUCAAUGGAAAAGGGGAAUUAAGCUUCCAGAUGAAAUUGAGGUUGCCAACCAACUGACUUUAAGAUCAAAAGAUUAUCCUGGAUUAUCCAGGCAGACCCAAUGUAAUCACAGGGGUCCUUAAAUGUAGAAGAGGAAGGCAGAAGAGAAGUCAGAGUGGUGCAGUGAGAAGGUCUCAACCUUCCGUUGCUGAUUUUGAAGACGGACAAAUGGGCCACAGACCAAAGAAUAUGGGGAUGUUGGUUACUUUAGAACCUGAAAAAGGCAAGAAACAGAUUCACCUCUGUGGCCUCCAUAAAGUCCUAAGAUCUUGAUGUAGCUUAGUGAGUCCCAUGUUGGACUUCUAACUUACAGAGCUGUAAGAUGCUAAAGCUGUGUUGUUUUAAGCCCCAGUGUCUGUGGUAAUUUGUUAUAGCAGCAUUAGCAUUAGCAGCAUUAGUUACAUGGCGCAUCAGCUAAUCUUCAGAAGCAGCUCCCCAGGCUUGAAGAAUGGUUCAGAGUUUUUAGAACUUUGCUCUAAACAAGGCAACCACUCUUGCUCCAUUUUUAAGUUUCUCCAAAUUUUGAGUUUCAAAAGAAAGACAUGCACUUAAAGUUUCUGGAGGCCACAGAGAUGAAUCUGUUUCCUUACCUUUUUCAGAUUCUAGAAGUAGCCAACAGUCCCACAUUCCCAAGGUGGGAAACAAGCAUGAUAAAGUGUUCUCUUUCUUCAGUCACCACGUUUGCCCAUCCUGUAAUGACCGUCUUAAGUAUAUUCCAUAAUAAACAAUCACAUUCA